UAUUGGGCAAUGGAGGAAACUCUGACCCAGCAACGCCGCGCGAAUGAUGCAGGUCUUCGGAUUGUAUAGUUCUUUUCUAAGGGAAGAAGAAAGUGACGGUACCUUAGGAAUAAGCCCCGGCUAACUACGUGUCAGCAGCCGCGGUAAUACGUAGGAGGCAAGCGUUAUCCGGAAUGACUGGGCGUAAAGGGUGCGUAGGUGGUUUGACAAGUUGGUAGCGUAACUCCGAGGCUUAACCUCGGCACUACUACCAAAACUGUUGGACUCGAGUGCAGGAGGGGCAAAUGGAAUUCCUAGUGUAGCGGUGGAAUGCGUAGAUAUUAGGAGGAACACCAGUGGCGAAGGCGAUUUGCUGGACUGUAACUGACGUUGAGGCUCGAAAGCGUGGGGAGCAAACA
rnacentral:rRNA from 1 species